rnacentral:misc_RNA from 1 species
AACGCACGAGACCUGCGGACCUGCGGAAGGAUCAUUACCGAGUUUACAACUCCCAAACCCAAUGUGAACGUUACCAAACUGUUGCCUCGGCGGGAUCUCUGCCCCGGGUGCGUCGCAGCCCCGGACCAAGGCGCCCGCCGGAGGACCAACCAAAACUCUUUUGUAUACCCCCUCGCGGGUUUUUAUAUCUGAGCCAUCUCGGCGCCUCUCGUAGGCGUCUCGAAAAUGAAUCAAAACUUU